GACGAAUAGCAUCAUACAAUUCACCACCCGUUAUUAACUCCAUUAGGAAAUAUAAAUACCGUCUAUCUCCAAAAGUUUUAACUGAAGAAGAAGAUAUCAAUCAUUAUUUUUUUGUUAAAUGUGAAGGAUGAUCAUUUUCCGCUAAUAUUUCUCGCUCUAAUCGAAUAUGAUUUUUUUGUUUUAAUUGAAUGACAGUGCGUGUGCUGACACACUUGAGCGCAUAGCGAACUCCUGUUUUCUUAUGCGUUACCAAUUUUACUGUACCAAACGUUCCUUUUCCAAUAAUGCGGUCUACAACAAGCUCAUCAAAUGUUACUUUGAAAUACCAACAAAAACUAAAUGGUAUCCCUUCAAUUUUUCUUUCAAAGAAUGAUUGGUUGACUCUACCUGAAGUCUAAUACGCUCUUCUAAAUGAUGCAACAUAGGCCCUUGCAUAAACUGAAGAAAAGUAGCUUUUUCA